GCAGUCGCCGCGGUAAUACGAAGGGGGCUAGCGUUGUUCGGAAUUACUGGGCGUAAAGCGCACGUAGGCGGACAUUUAAGUCAGGGGUGAAAUCCCGGGGCUCAACCCCGGAACUGCCUUUGAUACUGGGUGUCUAGAGUAUGGAAGAGGUGAGUGGAAUUCCGAGUGUAGAGGUGAAAUUCGUAGAUAUUCGGAGGAACACCAGUGGCGAAGGCGGCUCACUGGUCCAUUACUGACGCUGAGGUGCGAAAGCGUGGGGAGCAAACAGGAUUAGAUACCCGCGUAGUCCCUGUCUCUUAUAC
rnacentral:rRNA from 1 species